rnacentral:rRNA from 1 species
ACGCUCGACACCACGGGAGCAGCAGUGAGGAAUAUUGGUCAAUGGGCGCAGGCCUGAACCAGCCAAGUAGCGUGAAGGAUGACUGCCCUAUGGGUUGUAAACUUCUUUUAUAUGGGAAUAAAGUUUUCCACGUGUGGAAUUUUGUAUGUACCAUAUGAAUAAGGAUCGGCUAACUCCGUGCCAACAGCCGCGGUAAUCUGAGCGGGCGUGCAAGGCG